CCAGGGAGUCCCCUCAAAGGGGCCGCCUGGCCCUGUUUCCCCAGAACAGCCUGGAGGCAGCUGCUAUGGGAAGUCCCUGUGGUUUCAGUGGAUCCGGGAAACUGCGUCACUAGAGUGUGGGCUCCCUGGGGAAGGGAGGAGCCUUUCCUGGAGGAAGAACUUUCAAUAACCCUUCUGCUGUGUCCCCUGUCUCCAUGGAAAUGGCUGAGGCCCAAACAAAGUCAGCUUUCUUGGGGAAGGGAGGGCUGACCCAUCAGCAAAGAGUCUCAGCUAUGUGCUGUGGCAUUUCAACAAGGAACCAUGUCACUGGCAUCCCAUCUGGGUGAGGGGAGUGGCUAGGGUAAUUAGCUGGCAGCCAAGGGCAGGCCGGCUGGGAGGGUCUAAGAACAAGACUCAGUGUCCAGACUGCAAGAGACUUCAGAGUUCAUCUGGGACGCAGGAGGGACAGGACUUGCCCAAGGCCACACAUUAAACAUAAUGAAGGUGAGGAGGGAGGAUCAGAGGAGCUCCAGUGAGAGCGGAGAAUGAAUUGGAGGGUCAGAGACACUGGGUUCAUCAGAAAGCUCUACACACAACAAAUGGAGCUAGAAAGGCAAGAACAGCUUGGAAAUUGUAUUUGAGUAAUGGGAAUUUUGGAAGGAGAUUUGCCUAUUGAUAUGGUUUGGCUCUGUGUCCCCACCCAAAUCUUAUCUUGAAUUGCACUCCCAUAAAUCCCAU
rnacentral:lncRNA from 1 species